GGGAGGAAACUGGAAUCCAGCAGCGGCGAGCAGCAGCUGGACGGUAACAUCUGGAAAUGGAAAGCCGACCUCCCCCUCCUCCUCCACCUCCUCCUCCUCCUCCUCCUUCUCCUCCUCUCACCCAGGAUCACUUCCGAAACCACUUGGCCUUCAGCCCCUGCCUCGGCCAGAGGUUUCAUUUUUAACUGAAUAUUUACCAAAGCUGAAAGCGUGCGAGGGGGGUGGGGUGGAAAUAGCGGCUGCUUCUUUUCCAAGGAUUUAUUUAAUGGGGAUGUGUUCAAGGCAAGACCGAAUUCAGAAGGAUAUCGACGUCGUGAUCCAGAAGUCCAGAGCUGAGGACUGCCUGUUUGCAGAUUUCAGAUACUCAGACUCCACCUUUACUUUUACCUAUGUUGGCGGCCCCAGAAGAUUAGCAAUAAACUCCUUAAAACCCAAAGGUUUGGGCUUCUGUUCCUUUCACUUGCAGUCAGACAUGGAGUUAGUGGUAGAAGAAACAGAAGGGGUAACCUGCAUGGUGACAGCUACUGAGGGGAUGGAUAGGAAAGCAGGCUGAGUCCCUGGGGCCAGUGGUUACCAAAGCCAAGGAGAGAGCAAGGGGAGCCCAGUGGGCCUGGCCAUGGACUGCUCUGGAAUUCCGAGUGUGAACUUUCAGCCAAGAAGGAGCUUCUGUCUAGAUGAAUAGCAAAUGUGACACUGAUAAUAGUAAUCGAAUAUUCCUCCAAGUACAGGCUCCUUCCUCUUUCUCCUGGACCUUUGCACAUGCUGCCUGGAAAACUCACCCACAACCUACUUUCCAUCCUCUCCUUCGGCUCAUCCCUGCUCAGCCCUCUUUGUUGAGAUAUUUGCCAAGCCAGAUUCUCUGAGAAGCCUUUCCUGGCAUCUUCGUCUAUAUAAUUCUGCUAGUUGUUUCUAAAACUAUGUUGUUAGUGUAUAUUGUAAUCACCUAUUUAUGUCUGUUUGACUGUGAGCCUCUUGGAGAUGGGAAUUCUCUCCUAUGCAUUGCGGUUUCCCCAGGCCCUAGCACACUGUCUAGCCCAGUAUUCCUUCUCAGUAAGUAGGUGUUGAAUGACUUACAAAAUGAAUGCUAAAAGACCUGGUAGACAAGAAGGAAUUUCUUAGCCUAAAUGACCAGAUGUGGAGAAGAUACUCAAACACUUCAGGGUCCCCGAUCUGGUGAUGUCACUUGCAGUGGAAUUUCAUAUGAAUCCAGUGUGACAGAAGUUGCCUAGUCAAGUUGUAAGUCCUCUUCUCUGGGUCACAUGUUCAAAUACUUUUAGGAGACAGAUAAUGCAAUAUUUAAGAUACAGGAAGUGAUGAAGACUGUGGCACACUGGAGAGUUUGGACUCCAAGAGUAAUUAAUUCAGUUGAAAAAAUCAACAGCACUCUGUUGAUCAAGCAAACUUUCUAGGGGCCCUAAUCCACCUGGGCCUGCAGUAUGUAAUUCCAUAACUCAUGGGAUGCCAUCAAGAGAGACAAUCUACUUGAUUGCUAAAGGGCCUUUGUUUUCUUUGGAGUUCCCCAGGAAGGAGAAAUGUAUGUGUGUGCAGGGGUGAGGAGGGGGGAGAGUGAAGAAACAAUACUAUCCCCUUAAAAAGGUUUGUCAGUUUUCAUUAUGAAAGAAGACCAAACGUGCCCACUCCAGAAAUCUUGGCAUAUGCAGUUAUUUUGAAGCCAUUCAGCGUUCUUCAAGAUGUCACAAUGAAAAGAGUGAUGGUUUUUUAAAUAAAAAAUUAACAUGUU
ensembl:lncRNA novel transcript